rnacentral:rRNA from 1 species
GACGAACGCUGGCGGCGUGCUUAACACAUGCAAGUCGAACGGAAAGGCCCUGCUUUUGUGGGGUGCUCGAGUGGCGAACGGGUGAGUAACACGUGAGUAACCUGCCCUUGACUUUGGGAUAGCUUCAGGAAACUGGGGCUAAUACCGGAUAGGAGCUCCUGCUGCAUGGUGGGGGUUGGAAAGUUUCGGCGGUUGGGGAUGGACUCGCGGCUUAUCAGCUUGUUGGUGGGGUAGUGGCUUACCAAGGCUUUGACGGGUAGCCGGCCUGAGAGGGUGACCGGCCACAUUGGGACUGAGAUACGGCCCAGACUCCUACGGGAGGCAGCAGUGGGGAAUAUUGCACAAUGGGCGGAAGCCUGAUGCAGCAACGCCGCGUGCGGGAUGACGGCCUUCGGGUUGUAAACCGCUUUCGCCUGUGACGAAGCGUGAGUGGCGGUAAUGGGUAAAGAAGCACCGGCUAACUACGUG